UUUCGACCUGAGCUCAGGCAAGAGCACCCGCUGAACUUA
rnacentral:rRNA from 1 species